AGGGCCGCGGUAAUUUGACCGUGCGAAGGUAGCAUAAUCAUUAGUCUCUUAAUUGGAGGCUUGUAUGAACGGCUGGAUGAAGGACAUACUGUCUUUUUUUUUAAAUUGAAUUUAACUUUUAAGUGAAAAGGCUUAAAUUUACUGGGGGGACGAUAAGACCCUAUAAAACUUUAUACAUUUAAUUAUUUUAAAUAAAUCAUAUAUUAAGCGUUAGUAUAAUUAAUUGUAUUUUGCUGGGGCGGCAUUGAUAUAUAAUUAACUGUCUUUUUUAUUGAAUAGGUAUAACUAGGUUAUGAUCCUUCUGUGAAGAUUACAAGUCUAAGUUACUUUAGGGAUAACAGCGUGAUUUUCUUUGAGAGUUCGUAUCGACAAGAAAAGUUGCGACCUCGAUGUUGAAUUAAAAUUUUUAGUUGGGUGCAGCCGCUCAAACUGUUAGGUCUGUUCGACCUUUAAAAUUUU
rnacentral:rRNA from 1 species